rnacentral:misc_RNA from 1 species
GAGAGAGAGAGAUCAAUUAUGCUUCUAGCAUUUGUCAAAAAAAAAAUUAAAGCAGCUAUGCAACUCAAUCGUGAACAAAUUCAACUCUUUUGGUCUUCAUCUCUCUCAGCCUCUAUCUAUCUGUCUAUCAAAAUAUUACUGAAACACAUUUGAGAAAUACAAUUAUCUAGUCACUGGUAAAUUGAAAUCCAAUUUCUGACCAAAGCCCAUGCAUGGAUUUGGCUCUUCCAAUUAUGGACAACAGGAAAGGGUGGCCAAAAAUAGUCCACAGCAAUAAGUGGAACAACAACUGCAAAAUUAAGGAAAAUAUUAAGUUAUUAAUGAACAGGCAACACAAUAGAGCUCCAAAAACCCAAAAAAUGUACAGGAAGAAAAUUGAUGGUUUUCCUCCAUGGAGUACAAAUGAAAUUAUCUAAUUACAAAUAUCAACUAGGAUGGCCUCGGUCAGCACGCUUAUAGUUGGGGAUCAAGGGUUUGAGACCCUCUCUCCAAAAGAAAUAACAAAUCAUGAGUUCAACUCGCCAAAGCCUACCAACUAACAUGGAUGAUAUAUACUGUCAAAGCUAUAAAAUUUAAAAUUUUGAAGUCAGAGUACAUACAAACUGAUAUAUUACACAAAGAAAAAAAAAUCCUUUACAUUUAAAAAUCAAGAAGAUAUUAUAAUAUUAAUCAUCCUUCAACAUAUUUUGCAUGCUGUCUAUAGAAACAGUUAAUAUCAACCAUUCUAUUUUUUGAAUAGAUAUCAUGUGAACGUGGAUUACAAAGCUCUUCAAUACAUAAUAACUUAGUUUAUUACC